ACAGGAAGCAGCGGAGCGCUGCGUGCCGUGGGCGAGGCCCCCCCCGCGGCAUCAGGAGGAGCCUGAGUCCGCCUGUCAGUUCGUCUUGCCUGUUUCCACAAGCCCCGCUUGCCUUAAAGACCGGAAAGGAAAGAGAGCCGAGAGGAAUCCGUCGAGAAUGUCAAACGCGCUGGUUGUGUGUGAAGUGGAUGAAAGUCUGAAAGCUAAACUGAAAAAGUUUAGAUUUCGAAAAGAAACCACCAAUGCUGCCAUAAUAAUGAAAAUAGACAUGGAGAAACAGCUUGUUAUCGUCGAAGAGGAAUAUGAGGACAUCUCAAUGGAUGAACUGAGAGAAGAACUCCCAGAGCGGCAACCCAGAUUCAUUGUCUACAGCUACAAAUAUGUCCAUUCCGAUGGAAGGGUGUCUUACCCUCUUUGUUUCAUAUUCUCUAGUCCAAUGGGAUGUAAGCCAGAGCAACAGAUGAUGUAUGCAGGGAGCAAGACUGGACUGGUGCACGCUGCGGACCUCACAAAGGUCUUUGAAACAAGAAAUACGGACGACUUGACAGAAGAAUGGCUGAGGAACCAGUUGGGAUUUUUUGGCUGAAUAUACAGUACUAUCAGUCUGUCUUAUGGUGAAACAUGGCCGUUGACAGUAAAUAUCAAUCGCUGCUCAUGGUUCUCCAGCUGAGCUUUACGAGCAUCCUAAGAAUCACAGUGACAGAGACUCAGCCGUGAGUACACUACGACUGUUUAAUAAACUUUGAGACAAUA